AAACCGCAAACCUGUACCUACUGAAACCAACAUACACAGUAAGGAUCCGAAUGGCUAGGAACCAAGAGAAUGUGCAGUCAAACUCAAUAGCCUUACUGCGAAUAGUCAAUGACACCGUAGGUCAAAGGACCACUCACACCAUUGCAGUAUCGAGAAGACCACCAAUGAGUGAGUAGACAUCCAUGUAGUUUUUCAUGUUGGUCAUGCUUAGUACAAGUUAUUCUCUAAC
rnacentral:lncRNA from 1 species